rnacentral:rRNA from 1 species
UACAGAGGGGGCAAGCGUUGUUCGGAAUUACUGGGCGUAAAGGGCGCGUAGGCGGCCCGCUAAGUCGAACGUGAAAUCCCUGGGCUCAACCCAGGAACUGCGUCCGAUACUGGCAGGCUUGAAUCCGGGAGAGGGAUGCGGAAUUCCAGGUGUAGCGGUGAAAUGCGUAGAUAUCUGGAGGAACACCGGUGGCGAAGGCGGCAUCCUGGACCGGCAUUGACGCUGAGGCGCGAAAGCGUGGGGAGCGAACAGG